UGGAGAGUUUGAUCCUGGCUCAGAACGAACGCUGGCGGCAGGCUUAACACAUGCAAGUCGAACGCCCCGCAAGGGGAGUGGCAGACGGGUGAGUAACGCGUGGGAACAUACCCUUUCCUGCGGAAUAGCUCCGGGAAACUGGAAUUAAUACCGCAUACGCCCUACGGGGGAAAGAUUUAUCGGGGAAGGAUUGGCCCGCGUUGGAUUAGCUAGUUGGUGGGGUAAAGGCCUACCAAGGCGACGAUCCAUAGCUGGUCUGAGAGGAUGAUCAGCCACAUUGGGACUGAGACACGGCCCAAACUCCUACGGGAGGCAGCAGUGGGGAAUAUUGGACAAUGGGCGCAAGCCUGAUCCAGCCAUGCCGCGUGAGUGAUGAAGGCCUUAGGGUUGUAAAGCUCUUUC
rnacentral:rRNA from 1 species